rnacentral:rRNA from 1 species
UACGUAGGUGGCAAGCGUUAUCCGGAAUUAUUGGGCGUAAAGCGCGCGUAGGCGGUUUUUUAAGUCUGAUGUGAAAGCCCACGGCUCAACCGUGGAGGGUCAUUGGAAACUGGAAAACUUGAGUGCAGAAGAGGAAAGUGGAACUCCAUGUGUAGCGGUGAAAUGCGCAGAGAUAUGGAGGAACACCAGUGGCGAAGGCGACUUUCUGGUCUGUAACUGACGCUGAUGUGCGAAAGCGUGGGGAUCAAACAGGAUUAGAUAC